UGGCAACGCACCAAUGAUGCUGCAAACCUACGAUGACUAAUCCUAAAAGCCUAAUUUGUAGAACUCAUUCAAAUGCUUAAAGAUUCGCAGGUCACCACGGGGGUCGAUUUCCAUUUGCCAGCGAGGGAUGGGAGACAAAGUCAGUAAUUGCUGGAACCGCGCUCGGCCGCACCGGCGGGGCAGCGUGAGAGCCACUGGCUCUUUCUUCCACAUCCUUCAUGUUUCACCUUUCCACUCCUGGCAUUUAACUCACGGAGGCACAAGGAAACGGAGUGGCCUCUGCUAACACGCAGCAAAACCCGCUUUGCAUGGCUCCAUCUCCCUGUUUACACCAAUAAAGCAGUAAGCUACAUGCUGCAGGCAGUAUCUGACCCCACAGAAAGCGAAUCGCGCUGGCCGGAGGCACAGAGCCCUAAACCUUUAUCCCAUAGUGCUAAAUAAUCAUCACACACCUAAUUGAUUGUGGUUUUGAGUAAGCAUUCACAUCACUCUCGUUAGCAGCUGCCAGAAACAAGCACCUGCACACAGCCAGGUUACGCCGUUCCAUCGCAUGGCAAUGGGAUUUCCACAUCUGCAUCCACUGCAUUAACCCUCCUACCCUUCCCACAUGGGGAUCUUCCUGCAGAAAGACUUCUUCCACCUGGGACACAAGAACUGGCUGAAGUGAUAGCUCAGAAGACAAAAAUAAAGGGGGAGAGCACCACAAGGAAGAUGCUGAGAAGCUGAAGGAGGCUUUCUUUAUCUUCCAAUGAGAUCAGCACUGCGUGGUGCUCCUUUAAAAUCCUGGCAUAGAGAUGCUGAGGGUUUUUUUUUACAUCUUUUCUUCUGAACAGCCGUACUGGCAAAGCAACAGCGACUUCUGCUUCCCAACCAGGUGCUACGUGAAGAGAAAGGAGAAACUUUCCCAAAGUGAGGAAUAUUUCUUUGCCUUUAUUUCCUGUCUCUGGACCUACACGGAGCCGAGGUGGGCGUUCAGCUUCUGAGUGCAAAAAUACAAACAGGAUCAGUGGCACAACACGAGCUCCCACAUCACGCUGCCCUGCAGGCUCAGGGAGGGCUCACUUUGUUUUUGCCAUCCCAGCACAGAGCCUCUCUAACAAACACAGCGCUCGGUAAUGCUGCCUUUUGCAGGCUGGUCUUCUUCGAAACAAAUGAGGCGAUUCCAGAAAGAGCAAAGACAUCAUCUGACAGUCCCUUGCUAGCAAGCUGCUCCCCUCUGCUGUCUCACUAUCCCACCUCCCCAGACCCAGCAACACCGCUGAUACGAGCUUUAUAAAUAACCCAAAGCAGCGCUGCCUCGCUGGGAAAGCACUGUGCUGAGCACAUUGCUGGGUGUCACACAGGAACAAAAGCCCCGAGAGAGAUGAGAGGGGAGAAAAAUACAAAUGCAGCUGCUUGCAGAACGCUCACUCUCUCCGGAGAGAAUUCUUUUUGGCUGCCGUGGCACACAGCAGACCCCAGUGCUGAGUGCAGAUCUGAAGGCAGCAAUCACAGCCCCGUGCAAAAGGAAAGCCUGGCAGGGCUGCUCGUGUAAACAGGAGCAAAAAACCAACAGGAGAACAGGACAAAGAGGGGGCAGAAGGGAGGAAAAUGAGUUAGCUGGCAUGCCAGCACUAGGUUUGGGCUAAAAUAUUACAGUUUGGAGAAGACGGAAUAGCUGACGAAAACUUACCCAACGCAUCAAGAUACAUUAUUACAUAGGGAAUGCUGCCUUGCUCUGGUUGGCAGGCUUUUGACACCUAGGUUAUAAGGAUCCUGAAAAAUCAAGUUGAGAAGAAGGUAAUUUGCUGGAAGGGCUGUCUCUGGAAGACGCUGGGGCUCUGCAGAUAUGAAUGCACGGGAGUUGUGCUCUGCGGUGCUUUCCAAGUAGUCCACGCUAAAUACAAAGAACACAGCCAUUUGUCAUUUGGGACUGAAAAUAUUAGAGAAACAAGCG
rnacentral:lncRNA from 1 species